rnacentral:lncRNA from 1 species
AGAAACCUUCGGCAAUCCAUGUAAGUACUCUUGCAGUUCAUGGUUGCUCUUUUUUUGGAUCAAAGUUAUAGUGUAAGAAAAUACUUACUAGAACUACAUUAAAUACUAAUUGUUCAAUGCUAAAAAGAAUCCGAUUCUGGAUAAAUCAUCUUUCACAUAUUAUACAUACACCUACAAAAUUCUUAAAAAUCAAGUACACAUUUGAAACUAACAAUAAUGUAAAUAUACUGG